rnacentral:rRNA from 1 species
UAAUACGGGGGGGACAAGCGUUGUUCGGAUUUACUGGGCGUAAAGGGCGUGUAGGCGGGCCAGCAAGUCGGAUGUGAAAACUGACAGCUCAACUGUCAGCCUGCAUUCGAUACUAUUGGCCUUGAGUACGGGAGAGGAGAGUGGAAUUCCAGGUGUAGCGGUGAAAUGCGUAGAUAUCUGGAAGAACACCCGUAGCGAAGGCGGCUCUCUGGACCGAUACUGACGCUGAGACGCGAAGGCUUGGGGAGCAAACAGGAUUAGAUACCCUGGUAGUCCAAGCGGUAAACGAUGGGUACUAGGUGUCGGAGGUAUUGACCCCUUCGGUGCCGCAGCUAACGCAUUAAGUACCCCGCCUGGGGAGUACGGUCGCAAGAUUG